rnacentral:rRNA from 1 species
CCCAGACUCCUACGGGAGGCAGCAGUGGGGAAUAUUGCACAAUGGGGGGAACCCUGAUGCAGCGACGCCGCGUGAGUGAAGAAGUAUUUCGGUAUGUAAAGCUCUAUCAGCAGGGAAGAAAAUGACGGUACCUGACUAAGAAGCCCCGGCUAACUACGUGCCAGCAGCCGCGGUAAUACGUAGGGGGCAAGCGUUAUCCGGAUUUACUGGGUGUAAAGGGAGCGCAGACGGCUGUGCAAGUCUGGAGUGAAAGGCGGGGGCCCAACCCCCGGACUGCUCUGGAAACUGUAAAGCUGGAGUGCAGGAGAGGUAAGCGGAAUUCCUAGUGUAGCGGUGAAAUGCGUAGAUAUUAGGAGGAACACCAGUGGCGAAGGCGGCUUACUGGACUGCAACUGACGUUGAGGCUCGAAAGCGUGGGGAGCAAACAGGAUUAGAUACCCCAGUA